CUUUAUUGUAGUCCAUGUUGACCUCUUCUGGUUACAUCAUUUUCUAGGUGCCAUAGAUAAACUUGUCCCUGCUCGGUGACCCCCAGUAAUUUAAAUUUAUAUGUGUUCUUACUAUUUCUCCCCUGGAGUUAGUAAACAUUUACACAUUUAUUCCAUCUGGAUGAGACAAUAUAACGUCCAUUUCUAGGGUGAGAAUGAAUCACACUCUGUGUUUAGUACAUAUUGCUGCUUGGCUGGUUUUUACACAGGUUGCCAAGUGCUUUAACCAUGUGACUCCUGCAGGGGGUGAAGAUACUGAGAUAUAAGAGAACAAUCUGUAGGCUGCAUUCUCCCACCUUGGAGUUUAAUCGUAAUGUCUUGGAGUCUCUCUGAUGCUCCUUAUGAGAUUCCUCUGCAGGGAGUGCGUGAUUUGCUUCUUUCCUGCUAUCACACAGCUGUUAUGUUCUCCCUUCUAUGUAAAGAUCUUUAGCAAUGUGACGUAUCCCGUGGAGAACCAGAUGGAGAAUAAAUGGUAAUAGGGGGCUGCAAGGUAAGGUAGAGAUCAGCAGGUGCUACAGAUAAAAUCAGAGACCGCCACCAUGUCUCUAGCGAUGAGUCGAUGAAGGCUCUCUGCGAGGGACAUGAACAAUUCCUUACAUCUGGUAAUGCAUCACAUUAUGAGUGGAAAACUCUCCAAGCUAUACCGAGUAUUGGGUGGAAAUGAUGCAGUCAUUGGGUUAAUGGUGGACAAUAAUCUACAGAUCAGAGAGAUUACUGUCUAGCAGAGAGCCACG